CCAGACUCCUACGGGAGGCAGCAGUGGGGAAUAUUGCACAAUGGGGGGAACCCUGAUGCAGCGAUGCCGCGUGGAGGAAGAAGGUUUUCGGAUUGUAAACUCCUUUUAUCAGGGACGAUAAUGACGGUACCUGAAGAAAAAGCUCCGGCUAACUACGUGCCAGCAGCCGCGGUAAUACGUAGGGAGCGAGCGUUGUCCGGAAUUACUGGGUGUAAAGGGAGCGUAGGCGGGACGGCAAGUCAGAUGUGAAAGCCCGGGGCUCAACCCCGGUAUUGCAUUUGAAACUGUCCGGCUAGAGUGCAGGAGAGGUAAGCGGAAUUCCUAGUGUAGCGGUGAAAUGCGUAGAUAUUAGGAGGAACACCAGUGGCGAAGGCGGCUUACUGGACUGUAACUGACACUGAGGCACGAAAGCGUGGGGAGCAAACAGGAUUAGAUACCCCCGUA
rnacentral:rRNA from 1 species